rnacentral:rRNA from 1 species
GACGAACGCUGGCGGCGUGGAUUAGGCAUGCAAGUCGAACGGUAUCAUCCUUUCGGGGGUGAGAGAGUGGCGGACGGGUGAGUAACGCGUGAACAUCUACCCAUUGGAGGGGGACAACCCGUCGAAAGGCGGGCUAAUACCGCGUAAGCCGCGAGGUGAGAGGCUGCCUAUUGGUGGCCGCCGAUGGAUGGGUUCGCGUCCUAUCAGCUGGUUGGUGGGGUAACGGCCUACCAAGGCGAAGACGGGUAGCCGGUCUGAGAGGAUGGCCGGCCACACUGGAACUGAGACACGGUCCAGACUCCUACGGGAGGCAGCAGUGGGGAAUAUUGGGCAAUGGGGGAAACCCUGACCCAGCAACGCCGCGUGAAGGACGAAGGCCUUCGGGUUGUAAACUUCUUGAUCAGGGACGAAAGCGAUGACGGUACCUGAGGAACAAGCCACGGCUAACUACGUG